rnacentral:misc_RNA from 1 species
AAAUUCUCAAAGAAGAUAGAAGCGAGUCAAUCAAACGCCAGACGCAACAAAACAAACCCUAAAGCAGCUAAAUUUUGGCACUUGUUCAUCUCCUUAUUUAGCUACACACUACCAUCAAAACCCUAGCUUUUUCUGUGUAAAAGCUCAAUUAUUUGGUUUCAGGACACAACCCAUUUCCAAAAUAUGACCUUAUUGCACUAGCUCCACACCUUAUUUGACAUAUCAGUGUUCAAUUCAGACCAUCAUGCUGUUGCCCAUCAAGAGCACUUCACUUUUGUAGGUCAGGGAGGGGAGCCAUGGAGGGAGAUGAGCGUGGGAUUGUAUUGGCCUGCGCAAUU